rnacentral:sRNA from 1 species
UUGUCCCCCGAGCCGCCGACCGGGCCUCGAACGGGAUGGCAGAGGAGGUGAGGAGGGAGAAGCGUCCGGAGUGGGGCGGGCCCGGACUCCGACCCCCGGGGCGCUUCGAGCCCCCCAGCGGGUCACCGAGGCACCGCCGCUCCACCCAGGCCAGUAGCCGCCCCCUCGCGCACCCCGGCCCCGCCUCACACGCGCGCCCGAGCGAGCCCCGGGCUCCCCUCGGGCCCAGCGCGGCGCAGGGGUCAGUGGUUCUCUCGGGUCUCGGGACAGGUGAGCACCCUGAUGAAGGCCACAGUCCUGAUGCGGCAGCCUGGGCGGGUGCAGGAGAUCGUGGGCGCCCUCCGCAAGGGCGGCGGAGAUCGGUUACAGGUACUUCUGGGGCGUGCGGGGGCCGGCCGGGCUGGGGGCGGCUGGAGAGGCUUCCUGCCCAUUGGGCCUUCCCGCUUUGCUCUGCCGCGGACCCCUCCUAGCUCUCUGCCCCAAGAAAUGGCCGGGAGCUUGAAGGAGAGCGGGUUGGUUUGCCUGUCCUAAAACCCAGAUUUCAGAUUUCUCAAUAUGGUCAUGCUGCUUCCCCUAAUUGGACAGAAGGCGCCCACACCAGUACCUAGGGCCUUAUCCUCCCCAAGCCAGCGGCUCCCCAGUGAUUUCUGAUUUUGACAUGACCUUGAGCAGGUUUGCAUAUAAUGGAAAGCGAUGCCCUUCUUCUUACAAUAUUCUGGAUAAUAGCAAGAUCAUCAGUGAGGAGUGUCGGAAAGAGCUCACAGCACUCCUUCACCACUAUUACCCAAUUGAGAUCGACCCACACCGGACCGUCAAGGAGAAGCUACCUCAUAUGGUGGAAUGGUGGACCAAAGCGCACAAUCUCCUAUGUCAGCAGAAGAUUCAGAAGUUUCAGAUAGCCCAGGUGGUUAGAGAGUCCAAUGCAAUGCUCAGGGAGGGAUACAAGACCUUCUUCAACACACUCUACCAUAACAACAUUCCCCUUUUCAUCUUUUCUGCGGGCAUUGGUGAUAUCCUGGAAGAAAUUAUCAGACAGAUGAAAGUGUUCCACCCCAACAUCCACAUCGUGUCUAACUACAUGGAUUUUAAUGAAGAUGGUUUUCUCCAGGGAUUUAAGGGCCAGCUCAUACACACAUACAACAAGAACAGCUCUGUGUGUGAGAACUCUGGUUACUUCCAGCAACUUGAGGGCAAAACCAAUGUCAUCUUGCUGGGAGACUCCAUCGGGGACCUCACCAUGGCCGAUGGGGUUCCUGGUGUGCAGAACAUUCUCAAGAUUGGCUUCCUGAAUGACAAGGUGGAGGAGCGGCGGGAGCGCUACAUGGACUCCUAUGACAUCGUGCUGGAGAAGGACGAGACUCUGGAUGUGGUCAACGGGCUACUGCAGCACAUCCUGUGCCAGGGGGUCCAGCUGGAGAUGCAAGGCCCCUGAAGGCACAGGCUUCACCCGGCCUGCAGGCCGUGGUGAGGAGGGGGCGCCUCCCCAGAGUGCGCUCCCCCGUGAACACAGAGCAGAGGCCAGGGUGGCCAGCAGUGGCUGGGUCCUUCCAUGCUCCCUCUCCGUCCUCCUUUCCCCGAGCACCUUCAUCACCAGAGGCUUGAAGGAACCCCGCCAUGUGGCAGGGCACAAGCACUGUUCCUGGUGAACCUUGGACCACAGCAUGUCAGUGCUCUAGGGAUUGUCUGUUCCAGGGAUUUUUUUCAAAAUUUUUAAACAUGGGAAGUUGUUCUUCAAAC